AUAGAGAGCUGGAUGCGGUGAGGAUCAUCCACAAUCAGCACGUCCAGGAGGAGGCAGAGUGUGGGUUCUCUCUGGUGCACAAGAACAUGCCUGCUGUGGCCGGGGGUCUCCGCUGGGCACAAGAGCUGAGGCAGCGCAUCCAGGAUCCCCUCAGCAACUUCAGCCGCAUGGCGCAUCCUUGCAUGGAAUCUGCUGAAGGAAAACGAACAAUGCAAAAAUACGAAGACACGCUCUCAUUGCUGGAAAA